AAACAGUUCUGGAAUUUUAGCAUCACCCAGCUCAGCUUUUUUUUUAAAAAAAAAACACUGCUCCACACUGAUAACGUUACUCCUCCAGAGAGGAGGACAUGCUUGUGAACACCUGCACAAGGGAGCUUCUGCCACCAAAGCCAGGGGAAUCAUGCCAAACGGAGCCCAAGAGCACAGGGCUCCACAAUAUGCAAGCAGAAAGCACUGCUACGGAUCACUCCCAGGUCUAAACUCAAACAACAGAAGAAAGCUUCUGUAGAAAACAAGGAGCAAGCUCUGUCCUGCAGGCUGCAGAUGAACUCAAACUCACUGCCAAAUACAGGAAGCUUUCAGCUGCGUGAAUGGAAGGAAGAACACAAGAAAAUUUCAAGUAUAUGAAACAGAAAGCCAACAGCAAAAACCACUGCCCCUCCAGCAGCUCUCCAGGAGACAAAGAUCUAUGGACAACCUCAGAUUUCAUUAGGAACCUAAAGCACACAGACCAAGAAAUCUCAGGUCCCUCAGAAGUAGUGAAGCAUUCAUGAGCCAUGUUUCCAGAGGACUGCAAAAAGGAUCAUAUCAGUACAAGAGUUUUGUAGCAAACGGCCUAUCCCAAGCUCGGAUUCCUCAUAGGUAAAUCUGAUUAUCUACCAAUAGCCAAGUGAAGUGUUGAAAAAGCUGGAGGCACUUUUACUCAGCCCUGAAAAUAGCCAUAAGGAAAAGAAGAAUGCCAAUGUGCUCCAUCUAACAAAGCCAGCAGCAACAACAACAUUAAGGUGGAUUUUGUCAAUAAGGAUGGAAAAAAAUAUAUUUUUGUUUGUUUUCUCUCCUUUUCCCUAAACCAAGUCAAUUCCUA
rnacentral:lncRNA from 1 species